rnacentral:ncRNA from 2 species
GUCUUAUCAAGAGUGGCGGAGGGACUGGCCCUGCGAAGCCCGGCAACCUAAAUAUUGAUAUUCACCAAUAUUUAUAUGGUGCUAAUUCCAGCAGCAUUUAGCUGAUAGAUGAGAG